GGGGAUAUGGCGAAAUUGGUAGACGCUACGGACUUAAUACUUUAAAAAUCGUGAGGGUUCAAGUCCCUCUAUCCCCA
rnacentral:tRNA from 4 species